rfam:Sorghum bicolor cultivar BTx623 chromosome 6, whole genome shotgun sequence.
UCGUAACACGAACCGGUGCUAAAGGGUCCUGACCAACGGCUUUUGAUAGGUGCUGUCGGGGCAGGGACCCUUUAGCACCGGUUCGUGUUACCAA